rnacentral:rRNA from 1 species
UACAGAGGGUGCGAACGUUGCUCGGAAUUACUGGGCGUAAAGCGCGUGUAGGCGGCUUUGCAAGUCGGAUGUGAAAGCCCACGGCUCAACCGUGGAAGUGCAUCCGAAACUGCAUGGCUUGAGUCUCGGAGAGGAAGGUGGAAUGCUUGGUGUAGAGGUGAAAUUCGUAGAUAUCAAGCAGAACACCUGCGGCGAAGGCGGCCUUCUGGACGAUGACUGACGCUGAGACGCGAAAGCGUGGGGAGCAAACGGG